UGUAAGAAACCUUAAUUUAAAAUUCUUACAAGUGGUAUGAUGUUCUCUUUUAGUAAAAUGUUAAUGGACAAAGUACAUCUAAUUCUGUGGCAUAAUUUCUGCCAAGCAUACUCCCAAUGUAACCUAUCUUCCAGAUUCAAGUGCCCAAAGAAAUUAACCUUAAUAUAGUUUUGCCACCUGAUUUUUUGAUGGUGACUCUUUGAAUAAAUUUUCCCCCAUUUUUCACGUAAAUGAUCUACAUAUCAACACCAAGAGGAUGCCAAUCCACAAUGCCACAUAUAAAACUGAUCUCAUAUGAAUGAUAAGCAAUCUAUAAAAUAAAACAAGUAUUUAACCACAAAAAUAAGUCCAGAAUAGGACUCUUAGGAGACGUGAGUUCAGAGCGAUGCAAAAGGAUUUAUUUCAUUGGGGUCUCAGUGAAGUACAAAAGGUAAUCAAAUGGCUCCACUAGAAGCAUGAAUAAAAUCACAAAGAAAUGAAAGCUAAAAGGAAGUGAAUAAAACUUAACAAGUUGCAGCAAUUAAGUUUUGAGUGUCCAUUCAUGAUUCAUGCAUACUUUUAAUUUUAUAUUAACACAAAUGUUAGAAUCCCUUAAUUAGUGUA
rnacentral:misc_RNA from 1 species